CCAAGAGAUCGGGAUAACACCUGGAAACAGAUGCUAAUACCGGAUAACAACAGAUGAUGCCUAUCAACUGUUUAAAAGAUGGUUCUGCUAUCACUCUUGGAUGGACCUGCGGUGCAUUAGCUAGUUGGUAGGGUAACGGCCUACCAAGGCGAUGAUGCAUAGCCGAGUUGAGAGACUGAUCGGCCACAUUGGGACUGAGACACGGCCCAAACUCCUACGGGAGGCAGCAGCU
rnacentral:rRNA from 1 species